GGAAUAAAGGGGAAGAUGUUUCUCAUAACAACGAUUCUGAUCUUAUGGAUGCAAAUAUCACUGAACGGACAACAGUUAAAGCAAAUUCCUGAAUUCGUGCCCCUACAAGAGGGAGAGAACUUCACCACAUACUGCAAUACCACCAGCCCUUUAAACAGCUUACAGUGGUAUAAGCAGCAGCCUGGGGGACGUCCAGUCUUCUUGAUGACAUUAACUAAGAGUGGAGACGUGACGAGGCAGGGGAGACUGACAGCUCGGUUUGGAGAGACCAGAAAGGACAGCUUCCUGCACAUCCCGGCCGCCCAGACUGCAGAUGUGGGAACCUACUUCUGUGCAGGUAACAACGCCCCCCGCUUUGGAGCAGGAACCAGACUGACAGUAAAACCAAUUAUCCAGGACCCCGACCCCGCUGUGUACCAGCUGAGAGACUCCAAAUCCAGUGACACCACCGUCUGCCUGUACACCGAUUUUGGUUCUCAAAUCAACAUGACACAGUCACCAGCCACGGACCUCAAGGUGUUCAACUCAAAUAGCACUGUGCUAGACAUGGGGGCCAUAGGUUCUAAGAGCAACGGAGUCCUCUCUUGGAGCAACAGCACUAGUUUUGGAUGCCAAGACGCCUUCAGUGAGACCUUCUAUGCCAGUGAAGAAUUUCCCUGUGAUCCCAAGUUGGUAGAGAAAAGCUUUGAAACAGAUGUCAGCCUGAAUUUCCAAAAUCUACUGGUGAUCGUGUUCCGCAUCCUCCUCCUGAAAAUGGUCGGGUUUAACCUGCUCAUGACACUGCAGCUGUGGUCCAGCUGAGGUCGCCAAGAACAUGAGAGCCAUGUGCUCCCUCGCCCCUUCCUCUUCAUAGCCAGUCCUCUCCCUCUUCAAGCAGAAAGGAAUAUUCUCUGCCCCGUGGACAAGAAGGCUCCAUCCACCUCUCUGGCCUCAGGCAAUACCACCGACGGGAUCCCACCAGAUAUUCGUGAUCAAGAUUCUGGAGAGCUGUCCAGCACUGCCGCCACCCACUCUGUUCCCUCGUUGCUACUUGUCACUGCGUGGCAUCCCCGGCAAAGGCGGGGGCUGCUGCAGCCCCUCCUGGCUGUGGAGAAGCUCCCUCCCCGCUCCCAGAGACUGCCUCAAUGCCCACUGGGUGAUGGAUCCUCAGUGGGGUCUCUUGAGUUCUAGCUCCUGGAGCACACUGUGCAGAGUUUGUAUUUUUUUAAAUAGUGUUCAUAAAGAAAUACCUACCACCCUCUUCCCCAAGAUGUGGGGGAAAUUAUCUCAUUAUCUAGGCCCUGCUCUGCUGUGUACCUGAGCCACAUUUUGCUGCCUUGGCUUCAUUAAAAGUGUUUUGACAACAUUGUAAAAUGACUAUAACUCAAUAAAAAAUGUUUAAGAAAAAAAAAAGUGUUUUGGAAGAGCAGA